rnacentral:rRNA from 1 species
GACGAACGCUGGCGGCGUGCCUAAUACAUGCAAGUCGAGCGAAUCAAUAGGAGCUUGCUCCUGUUGGUUAGCGGCGGACGGGUGAGUAACACGUGGGCAACCUGCCUGUAAGACUGGGAUAACUUCGGGAAACCGGAGCUAAUACCGGAUAAUCCUUUUCCACACAUGUGGGAAAGCUGAAAGUCGGUUUCGGCUGACACUUACAGAUGGGCCCGCGGCGCAUUAGCUAGUUGGUGAGGUAACGGCUCACCAAGGCGACGAUGCGUAGCCGACCUGAGAGGGUGAUCGGCCACACUGGGACUGAGACACGGCCCAGACUCCUACGGGAGGCAGCAGUAGGGAAUCUUCCGCAAUGGACGAAAGUCUGACGGAGCAACGCCGCGUGAGCGAUGAAGGCCUUCGGGUCGUAAAGCUCUGUUGUUAGGGAAGAACAAGUAUCGGAGUAACUGCCGGUACCUUGACGGUACCUAACCAGAAAGCCACGGCUAACUACGUG